ensembl:miRNA
AGUGGAAAUGCUGGUUCAUAUGGCAAUUCUACCUUUUAUGAGGAACUGUAAGGCUGUUUUCCAAAGCAGCUGUACCAUUUAC